UAGAGUUUGAUCCUGGCUCAGAACGAACGCUGGCGGCAUGCCUAACACAUGCAAGUCGAACGAACCCUUCGGGGUUAGUGGCGCACGGGUGCGUAACGCGUGGGAACCUGCCUUUAGGUUCGGAAUAACAGUUAGAAAUGACUGCUAAUACCGGAUAAUGUCUUCGGACCAAAGAUUUAUUGCCUUUAGAUGGGCCCGCGUUGGAUUAGAUAGUUGGUGGGGUAAUGGCCUACCAAGUCGACGAUCCAUAGCUGGUCUGAGAGGAUGAUCAGCCACACUGGGACUGAGACACGGCCCAGACUCCUACGGGAGGCAGCAGUGGGGAAUAUUGGACAAUGGGCGAAAGCCUGAUCCAGCAAUGCCGCGUGAGUGAUGAAGGCCUUAGGGUUGUAAAGCUCUUUUACCCCAGGGAUGAUAAUGA
rnacentral:rRNA from 1 species